rnacentral:sRNA from 1 species
CGGGCGGAACGGUGUCUCCUUCACUUCGCCCUCCAGCCGCUGCAGCUGCAGCCCGACCGCGAGCGUGCCGAGCGGCUUCAGCAGCUAGCGGAGCGGUGGCGGCGGCCCCCCUCAGGAGACCACCAGAUUCCCCUCUUCCCGCGGCCUCGCCAUGGCGACCCACGGACAGACUUGCGCGCGUCCAAUGUGUAUUCCUCCAUCAUAUGCUGACCUUGGCAAAGCUGCCAGAGAUAUUUUCAACAAAGGAUUUGGUUUUGGGUUGGUGAAACUGGAUGUGAAAACAAAGUCUUGCAGUGGCGUGAUAUCACAAUUUCUGGCUGUAGUCUCUUUAUUAUUUUCACAUCAGCUGUCUUCCUUAGGCUUGGCGUGGUGAUGCUUGUGAUCCCAGCUACUCAGGAGGCUGAGGAAUUUUCAACGUCUGGUUCAUCUAAUACAGACACUGGUAAAGUUACUGGGACCUUGGAGACCAAAUACAAGUGGUGUGAGUAUGGUCUGACUUUCACAGAAAAGUGGAACACUGAUAACACUUUGGGAACAGAAAUCGCAAUUGAAGACCAGGUAACAUUUUGAAAAUUUUAGUAUUAAUUUUAUUAAUUUAUUUUUGUAUUUCAAAAAAAGAGAGAAAACAAAUUACUUUUCUUUCAAAAUAGAUUUGUCAAGGUUUGAAACUGACAUUUGAUACUACCUUCUCACCAAACACAGGAAAGAAAAGUGGUAAAAUCAAGUCUUCUUACAAGAGGGAGUGUAUAAACCUUGGUUGUGAUGUUGACUUUGAUUUUGCUGGACCUGCAAUCCAUGGUUCAGCUGUCUUUGGUUAUGAGGG